GUUAAGAUAAAAAUUUCCAAAAUAUCCUAAAUGACUUAAAGGUCUAAAUUGCAUUGACCUUCAAUGGAAUUUGGGUGUCUGAAUCACUUAUGCUCUUCUGAAAAUUUUACUCUUCGUCUAAUUAGGGUAUGUCUUCACUACCGGCCAGAUCUAGUCUAGACUCGAUAAACCAAUCCCCGAGCGCUCUCGUGUUGACUCCUGUACUCCAGUUCAGUGAGAGGUGCAAGCAGAGUUGACGAGGGAGUGGCAGCAGUCGGCUCACUGUAGUGAAGACAUUGCGACAGUAGAUGACUUCAGGGAACUUGAAAGCAUAUUGAAGAAGAAGAAUGUCCAAGUGAUCUUUUCUGAGAAACUUCCUGUCCCAUGUAUGAAGACAAGAAGGCAGAAGUAAACCGCUGGCUAGAACUAAUUGGGUGAAAUCCUGGCCCCACUGGAGUCAAUGGGAGUUUUGCUGUUGCCUUCAAAAUAGAAUAAAUGAAUAUUUAGCUAUUUCCAUGUUCCUAAACACUUACUCACUGGAUAUCCAAGAACUGGAUGGCACAAUGGAGGAGAUAACGAAUGACAGGGAUUAUGACCUACUGGACAAAACUGAAACUUUGUGGAUGGAGUCCUGUUCCUAGAAAGGAGAGAAUAAGGCAGAGGGAGCUGUACAUCCUGUUGACUCAACUCUGAACCUGCAUGCUGCAAUCUAGAGAAAACAUCUGGAUAAAAUUACAAACGAGAGCGUUAAGUUACCGAAUAACACAUCUUCCUGGCAAGUCCACAUUCAAACUUUGGCUAUACAAUUUGUAGAUUGAGUAGACAUUUUAUUAUUAUUUUAUGGGGCAGUUCAAGAAAAAAAGUCAGUCUGCUUGGAAUUUUUACAAGAAAAUAGCUAAUAAAAACAUAUUAAACUUUUGGCAAUGCCAGAAGUUUGUACUGUGUAUGGGAGCAUGAAGAUGUGAGCUACAGCACUGGUUCAGUGCAUCAGUCACUGUGAUUAUAAUGUUAAUGUCUGAGCGGUAACACUUGGAUAUGAGUGUCUGGACAGAAUUCAGGAUCUCAAGAAGAGUUUUUCUGUUUCCCAGUGGCAGCUGCUGUCCAAAUCAAACCACUUUUUUUGGGGUAGCAACAUUUAUAUCAUACCAGGGUGGAAUUAGAAUUUUUAAGGCAGGAGAAGUCAGAUUCAGUUUAAAAUGUAUGACUAUUCUAUCUGCUGAAG